UUCUUCUUGUUGUUCUCUUCCACAUCCAAUAGUUGGUUUGAGCCUUUGAGCCUCAAAAUGAUAUUAGCGUCAGCAGAGGGUUUCCACUUCUGAGUAUGAUCUGAUUUCUUAUGUGAUUUUGAAGAUGGCUCAAUGCUGUCAAAGAGUGGAUCAUACUGGUCACCACCUGACGUAGGAAUAAUAUUCCCAACACCAAUAGCAGAAGUUGGUGAAGUUGCCUCUCUUGAUCCAACACCCUGUUCAUCAACUGAGGAAUGGCUCAAACCUAAAGGAUAAUCAUGAUUGCCACCAUACAUUGUGUGUUUUUCUUGCCUGAAGACACCAGAACUGAAUCUGGAGCUGAGUGGCUUCUCAAAAGUAGAUGCAUAAGGAUUAAAGUGAGUUGAAUUUCUUGAUACUCCAAAAUCAAGAGGAUGUGAUGGCUGAUUUCUGUCUUGAAGUUCUGGUGGAUAUCUAGAUGAACAACCAACUUUCCCUGGCAGACUAUAGACACCAUCAGGCACGGAAUGAUGCAAAUUGUAGGGUGCCUGUCGCUGUUGUAAGUAUGGAUCAAUAUCAGAAAAAGACUUCAAAAUCUCUCCUGGAGUUAAAUUGUCACCAGAAAAAGAUUGUUUGGUUGCAGAUCCUUCCUGUAAAAAGGGCAUAGGUUGAGAGUAAUUGUUGCUCCGAAAGGAGGAAUCUGAAACACUUGUAGCUUGCAUUGGAAGCUGUUUUAAACGAUCUUCUCCAAUCCAAAAAGAACAGAAUCUCCAAAUUGUUGACUGGAUGGAUUGCAUCCAAGUGGAGGCUUCAACCCAAAAUCUUCCAAAUGUGAGAAAGGUUGAUGUGGCUCUUGCAAUGGAGGGUAGGCUCGAUGCUGGAACUCACCAACCUGAGAAUUACUAGACAAUUCAGUUGAGUAGGGUUUCGAGAAUAUUUGGGAACCAAAGCAACUCUGCUGAAAUAGCAAACCAGCAUUUCCAGAUGGACCAUGUGGUGGCAAUAGUGGUGGUGGUGUCGGCAAUGUGGCAGAUGAGGUAUUUAAUGGUAGAGAAAAAAGAGAAUUUUGAUUGGGCAACAUUAUAGAAGGAAAAUUUCCCAAAGGAGCAGUUUGAGAUUGAAAUGCCGCAGUCCGUCUCAUCAAGUUGUAAUCCCUUGAUAGCUGUGUCAUAUGUGGGGCAUUAUUAGCAUCUGAAUUUGGAGCAGAAAAAUGAAAAGUGGGUAUCUGGGAAGGAUUAUGUACAGAAUCUGC
rnacentral:misc_RNA from 1 species